rnacentral:rRNA from 1 species
GACGAACGCUGGCGGCGUGCUUAACACAUGCAAGUCGAACGGAAAGGCCCUGCUUUUGUGGGGUGCUCGAGUGGCGAACGGGUGAGUAACACGUGAGUAACCUGCCCUUGACUUUGGGAUAACUUCAGGAAACUGGGGCGAAUACCGGAUAGGAGCUCCUGCUGCAUGGUGGGGGUUGGAAAGUUUCGGCGGUUGGGGAUGGACUCGCGGCUCAGCAGCUUGUUGGUGGGGUAGUGGCUUACCAAGGCUUUGACGGGUAGCCGGCCUGAGAGGGUGACCGGCCACAUUGGGACUGAGAUACGGCCCAGACUCCUACGGGAGGCAGCAGUGGGGAAUAUUGCACAAUGGGCGGAAGCCUGAUGCAGCAACGCCGCGUGCGGGAUGACGGCCUUCGGGUUGUAAACCGCUUUCGCCUGUGACGAAGCGUGAGUGACGGUAAUGGGUAAAGAAGCACCGGCUAACUACGUG